rnacentral:rRNA from 1 species
UACAGAGGUCUCAAGCGUUGUUCGGAUUCAUUGGGCGUAAAGGGUGCGUAGGUGGCGCGGUAAGUCGGGUGUGAAAUCUCGGAGCUUAACUCCGAAAUUGCAUUCGAUACUGCCGUGCUCGAGGACUGGAGAGGAGACUGGAAUUCAUGGUGUAGCAGUGAAAUGCGUAGAUAUCGAGAGGAACACCAGUGGCGAAGGCGAGUCCCUGGACAACACCUGACACUGAGGCACGAAAGCUAGGGGAGCAAACAGG